rnacentral:rRNA from 1 species
AUCAUGGAGAGUUUGAUCCUGGCUCAGAAGGAACGCUGGCAGCGUGCAUAACACAUGCAAGUCGAACGGUAGUAUUAUCUUCGGAUAAUAUGAGAGUGGCGAACGGGUGAGUAACACGUAAGAAUCUACCUUUAGGACGGGGAUAACUUCUGGAAACGGAUGCUAAUACCCGAUAUGCUGUGGAGUGAAAUGAAUUUCGCCUAAAGAUGAUCUUGCGUCUGAUUAGCUAGAUAGGGUGNNNNNNNNNNAUGGGCGAAAGCCUGACGGAGCGACGCUGCGUGAAGGAUGACGGCCUGAGGGUUGUAAACUUCUUUUCUCGAAGAAGAAUCAAUGACGGUAUUCGAGGAAUAAGCAUCGGCUAACUCUGUGCCAGCAGCCGCGGUAAGACAGAGGAUGCAAGUGUUAUUCGGAUUGAUUGGGCGUAAAGCGUCUGUAGGCGGUUUAGAAAGUCUUUUGUGAAAUACUUCAGCUCAACUGGGGGCCCGCAAAAGAAACUUCUAGACUUGAGGGAAG